AGUGAACGCUGGCGGUAGGCCUAACACAUGCAAGUCGAACGGCAGCACAGUAAGAGCUUGCUCUUACGGGUGGCGAGUGGCGGACGGGUGAGGAAUACAUCGGAAUCUACUUUUUCGUGGGGGAUAACGUAGGGAAACUUACGCUAAUACCGCAUACGACCUACGGGUGAAAGCAGGGGAUCUUCGGACCUUGCGCGAUUGAAUGAGCCGAUGUCGGAUUAGCUAGUUGGCGGGGUAAAGGCCCACCAAGGCGACGAUCCGUAGCUGGUCUGAGAGGAUGAUCAGCCACACUGGAACUGAGACACGGUCCAGACUCCUACGGGAGGCAGCAGUGGGGAAUAUUGGACAAUGGGCGAAAGUCUGAUCCAGCCAUACCGCGUGGGUGAAGAAGGCCUUCGGGUUGUAAAGCCCUUUUGUUGGGAAAGAAAAGCAGCAGGUUAAUACCCCGCUGUUCUGACGGUACCCAAAGAAUAAGCACCGGCUAACUUCGUG
rnacentral:rRNA from 1 species